rnacentral:rRNA from 1 species
GUGCCAGCAGCCGCGGUAAUACGUAGGUGGCAAGCGUUGUCCGGAUUUACUGGGCGUAAAGGAUGCGUAGGCGGAUAUUUAAGUCAGAUGUGAAAUACCCGGGCUCAACUUGGGUGCUGCAUUUGAAACUGGAUAUCUAGAGUGCGGGAGAGGUAAGUGGAAUUCCUAGUGUAGCGGUGAAAUGCGUAGAGAUUAGGAAGAACACCAGUGGCGAAGGCGACUUACUGGACCGUAACUGACGCUGAGGCAUGAAAGCGUGGGGAGCAAACAGGAUUAGAUACCCUGGUAGUCC